AUAUCAUGUAGCGCAUUUGCAUAUUAUAAAAUACAUAGGUAUACGUCGAACUAAACUCACGAACAGUUCUAAAGUUUGAAUAGUCACGAUGAUGGUUAUAUAAAUAUCGACUACUUACAUACAAUAAGCAAAGUGAAUUAGUAUUAAAGUAGUCGCAAAUUCGCAAAGCAACAUGUAUCAAGGUCCUAAGCUCUCUUUCAUACUACUUUCAAUUCUUGUAGUGACAGGUUGGCUUCUGUUGCCUGCUGAAGCGUAUAUAAUCGAUGCGCCCCUUAGAAAAAAAGGGAGAAGAUAAAGAAGGAGAUGCAAACUCGUCAUAAUGCGUAAUAAAUUUCAGUCAGCAUGGACAAGCGUUAACACAAAAUAAAGAACACAUUUGUAAAACAUACACCUUUUCUUUCCUGUGUUAAUUCACAUACAUUGUUAUCAAUAUAACGUUCUCAACAAAAUUGCGAUUCAUGCUAACACGUUUCCAUCAAGUAUUCGCUAAGCUUCAUUUGCUUAUCGUCGUUUACAAUUUGUGGAAGUCAUACAUUAUAAGGACGAAGUAAACGCCGUGAUAUAACACCGUAAAUAACAUUACUUUAGUACUCCUAAUCUUAUC